UGGGGGAUAUUGGACAAUGGGGGGAACCCUGAUCCAGCGACGCCGCGUGAGUGAAGAAGUAUUUCGGUAUGUAAAGCUCUAUCAGCAGGGAAGAAAGAAAUGACGGUACCUGAGUAAGAAGCCCCGGCUAACUACGUGCCAGCAGCCGCGGUAAUACGUAGGGGGCAAGCGUUAUCCGGAAUUACUGGGUGUAAAGGGAGCGUAGACGGUAAAGCAAGUCUGGAGUGAAAAGGCUGGGGGCCCAACCCCGGGCAGCUGCUCUGGAAACUGAUUAAAUACUGGAGUGCAGGAGAGGCAGGCGGAAUUCCUAGUGUAGCGGUGAAAAUGCGUAGAUAUUAGGAGGAACACCAGUGGCGAAGGCGGCCUGCUGGACUGUAACUGACGUUGAGGCUCGAAAAGCGUGGGGAGCAAAACAGGAUUAGAUACC
rnacentral:rRNA from 1 species